AAAAAGACAAACCCUGAUUUCCGUGUUCAACGUUUGACCGUCUAUCUUAUUUAAAAAAAUUAUAAAAAAUUAAAAAGAUAAGUCACGCAUAAAGUAUUAAUCAUGUUUUAUCAUCUAACAACAAUAAAAAUAUUAAUUAUAAAAAAAAUUCAUAUAAAAUGGACAGUCAAACGUUGGCACGGGAACCCACGGUUUGCCUUUUU
rnacentral:pre_miRNA from 1 species